UAGGGCCGAUGCCGUCGGGACCGACAAAAUUACCAAAUUUGCUCACUAGAAAGGGGCGAGAGCAAACAUGUACUGAAAAAAUUCUACCGUUUUGAGCAGAAUUAAACAAACGAUGUCGCAGCGUGUAGAUGUUUGUUGAUAUUUAUUUUAAGAAAAAAAUUGUAUCAGAUUAAAAUUGUGGAUGGUUUUUUUUGUAAUAACCAGUUAAAUUCGCAAUUUCGUUACAUUUUUUCGGGGUUUUCCAGGAAUUGAACGAGAAAGUGUAAAUGCUGGCAGUGUUCUGAAUAUCACUCAUUUUCAAUGAAUGUUUCUGAUUGCACUUCGCACCUGAACGUACAGCGGUCGGGUUUCGUUAUUGAUUGCUACUGGACCUACCCGAUCAUCGAUCGUUCAAUUCAUCGCUAAAAUACAGAUCACCUCGCACGAUGCUUGCUGUCAAAACAGUGCAGCACCAUCAUCAAAUUGGAAUAUCACCAAUGCGCAAUGCAUAUGGCGAAUCUUGUUGGUCUUCGAUCAGGAGUGAAUGGAUCAGGCAGCAGAUACUGAGUGAGCUACAUUCAGAAUGGAUCAGUUUGUAUCUCACUCAUCUCCGAUAUGCGAUGUUUGCUGAACCGAUGAUUCUGAAUGAUGCGACUCGGUUUGCAUAGCUGAUAGGAGCGCUGAUCGAGAUUGCAUACCAGCCAGGCGAAGCAGUAGCGAGAGGCGCUAUCCCAUUAUACAAUCGGAAUGUUUCCAACAGGAAACGCAUCCUGAGUGUUUGUUUUGAUUGAUUUUCGGACCAUUGAAUGCUGGUUCUGAUGAUAAACAAACUUGAAGCAUCGUAAUUUGUGACCAAAAAUGGUCACUCGGAGUUUCUCGGAGUAAUAAUAAUCGAGACCAGUGCGCUGUGCAAGAUUUUUGUAUCCAACCGGCCAAUAUGGGUGGCAUUCCAGUACUGUCCCUACCGAUUCGGCUUUCGGAACGAGGUCCAAUAGGUUUGCAACUAAUGGGACCCAGUUUUUCGGAGCAGCAAUUAUUUCAAUCAGCACGUUGGAUAGAAAAAGAAGUUGAAGAUUUUUUAGAAAAGUAUGAUUUUAAUAUAAAUAUAAUAAACAAAUAAAGUUGAAUUUUAGUUGAAUUGUUUGGUUUGUUGAAUUUUGUUUUUCGGGUCCAUUUGUUAGGAAAUAUAAGUGCCCGGCGUUUUGAAAGCAAAAUCGAGCUUAAUUCGAAAAUAUAUUCUUAUCUGAACUUAUUUUAUUCAAUCAAGUCGUCCUACAAUUCAAUAAGUUUUUAAUCACAAUCCAGCAAACGACUGACACGGAAUUGGAAACACCGUAAGGGAAACUCAACGCUUUACAACCACCACCGGUUGAAAGCGGUGUCCUAUAGAUAUGAUGAUGAGGCCAAGCGAAGCAAACAUCCUGCUCGGAAGUUCUUGCUGCAUCCGUCAUCGGACCCGAUUGCUGGUGUUCGAAGCUGCUUGGCCUUGCUGCUUCUGUAUGGCAUGUUCAACCAGGAUGUAGACUUUGACGUCACGAUACGGAUAGCAGCUAUCCCGUCAAAUAACUGCCAACACCCCCAGGCCCUUUUAAGACCAACAUUCAUCGAAAUUUGAGCAAAAA